CGCGAGUCUACCUUAGACAUGGAGCAGAGCCUGUGAGCCUGUCACUCACCCCUCAGAGCCUCUAACUUACACACCUCCUGUUGCAAACUAAGAUGUCCCUUCUCCAGGCGACACACCUGUUCAGGAAAUCUAGCUUCAGGGAUACAGGGAGACAGACACGAAGGGGGAAAGGCUCGCUUCUCCGCUUCCGCUUCAGUGCUUCAGACGAGUCAGGGCAACUUCAUGGAUUCACAAGCAUGUCCACUUCUGAAGGAGGAGGAUGGACAGCUGACAGACACUGGACGGUGGGGUGGGGAAAGCCCUGCGGUGUGUCCGAGUCCAACAACUCAGCUUCUAGACCUGCCUGACCUGCAUCAGGACGUCUGAUCCUCUCUGAACCUUGCCAGCCUUGCUGUCCUUGCAAGGAUAUCUUAAGAAUCAGUUGAGAGCAUGGCUAUGAUAAGACCGAAUAAAUUAAAAACUGAUGAGAGUAGCCGCACUAUUAUCAUGGUCCUACUGCUCUGUGUCACUCACCAAGCUGCCCUGGAAGUAGUACA